ACUCCUACGGGAGGCAGCAGUGGGGAAUAUUGGACAAUGGGCGCAAGCCUGAUCCAGCCAUGCCGCGUGAGUGAUGAAGGCCCUAGGGUUGUAAAGCUCUUUCACCGGAGAAGAUAAUGACGGUAUCCGGAGAAGAAGCCCCGGCUAACUUCGUGCCAGCAGCCGCGGUAAUACGAAGGGGGCUAGCGUUGUUCGGAAUUACUGGGCGUAAAGCGCACGUAGGCGGAUCGAUCAGUCAGGGGUGAAAUCCCAGGGCUCAACCCUGGAACUGCCUUUGAUACUGUCGAUCUGGAGUAUGGAAGAGGUGAGUGGAAUUCCGAGUGUAGAGGUGAAAUUCGUAGAUAUUCGGAGGAACACCAGUGGCGAAGGCGGCUCACUGGUCCAUUACUGACGCUGAGGUGCGAAAGCGUGGGGAGCAAACAGGAUUAGAUACCCCUGUAGUCCCAU
rnacentral:rRNA from 1 species